CCUUGUGGCUACUAUGAAUAUUCAUGUAUACAUAAUUGUGUAGACAUGUUUUCUUUUUCUUCUUUCUUUUUUUUUUUUUUUUUUUGAGACAGAGUCUCGCUUUGUGGCCCAGUCGGUAGCCCAGGCUGGAGUGCAGUAGUGCGAUCUCAGCUCACUGCAACCUCUGGCUCUCAUGUUCAAGCAAUUCUCCUGCCUCAGCCUCCUGAGUAGCUGGGACUACAGGAGGCUCGAUCCACCUGCCUUGGUCUCCUAAAGUGCUGGAAUUACAGGCAUGAGCCAACGCACCUGAUCUGGACAUAUGUUUUCUUUUCUUUUUUUUUUGAGAUGGAGUCUCACCCUGUUGCCUAGACUGGAGUGCAAUGGCAUGAUCCUGGCUCACUGCAACCUCCACCUCCCAGGUUCAAGCGAUUCUCCUGCCUCAGCCUCCCGAGUAGCUGGGAUUACAGUGGCGCGCCAUCACGCCCAGCUAAUUUUUGUAUUUUUAGUAGAGACGGGGUUUCACCAUGUUGGUCAGGCUGGUCUCGAACUCCUGACCUCGUGAUCCGCCUGCCUCGGCCUCCCAAAGUGCUGGGAUUACCGGCAUGAGCCAUUAUGCCCGGCCAGUAUGUUUUCACUUCUCUUGGGUAUAUAUCUAUUUAGGAGUGGAACUGCUGAGUCAUAUGGAAAUUUUACAUUAAAACUUUUGAGGACCUGCCAGACUUUUCCAAAGUAGCCUUGUGACUGGUGGGGAGACUGAGGCCCAAAGAGGGAAACUGUCUUCUGCAAAGCAACACAGUGAGUGUGAGAAAGCAGGAGCUAAUCAUGGACAUGACUUCAAUGCUGCGCCUUCUCCUCUGACCGCAUUACCAUCUCACUCUCACUCCAGUGCUCUCCAUACCCACUUCUGCCCCUCCAUUCCAUUCCUUGCCCAGCAGCAAAUCCCUUCACACCAGUCCCUACAAAGGCUUCCUGCUGCCAUCAUCAGGAUGAAGUUCCGCCUCUGAGGGAUGACUUAUAAGCUCCUCUGCCAUCUGGCCCUAGUGCUGCCUCCUCAUCUUGUCUUCUGAAGCAGUUUUAGUGAGCUAUAAUUCGCACCCCACCCCAUUCACCCGUUUUAAGUGUACAAUCCAAAUGUUUAUCAGUCCUUUCAUACUCUACACUGCAGGGUCAUGCAGGUCUUGUUUCAGUUCCAUGAAAACACCAACAUCUUUGCUUCUGAGACUUUGUGCACACCGUUACCUCUGUUUAGAACAGUCUGUAUAUUUUUUUCUGGCAAGUUCCUCAUGAUCUUUCACAUCUUAGUUGAGAUGUUUCUGCUGGGAAGCCUUCCCUGAGCAUUCGGGUUGACUGGAUGACCUGCAGGAUGUUCCCAUGGCCUCCCUAGGAUCGUCCCUGUCACAGCAUGUACUAUAGUAGUCUGAGGUUUUUUGGUUUUUGUUUUUUUUUUGAGAUGGAGUCUCACUCUAUCGCCCGGGCUGGAGUGCAGUGGCGCAAUCUCGGCUCACUGCAAGCUCCACCUCCUGGGUUCACGCCAUUCUCCUGCCUCAGCCUCCAAAGUAGCUGGGCCUACAGGCACCCGCCACCAUGCCCGGCUAAUUUUUUUGUAUUUUUUAGUGGAGAGAGGGUUUCACCGUGUUAGCCAGGUUGGUCUAGCAGUCUGAGUUUUUAAGGUCUGUGACUGUGUCUUGUUCAUAUGCAGUGCCUGGCAACACUCAAUUCACUAUUGGUUGAAUGAACAGAAAGAUCUGAAAAUAUCUAGCAUGGCCCUGAGCACACUGUAGAAAUCCUGCAAAUGUUUGCAGACCGCAAUUACUUCCAAGGACAGGGACAGCACCUCCUGUUGGGAACAUUCCAGAUGGUUUGGAUGAUUAAAGGUAAGAUAAGAUAUUUUUUGUCUGGUACCCAUGCCACUUCUUCAGGCAACAGCAUCCCAGUUUUCCUUUGGGGAAUCACUCUUAUUAUACCUUCAGUUCUUAUAGUUUAUGAGAAGCUAAGCAGUUCCUGGAAUUUGCAGUUGACUUAAGGCAGAUGAGUUAAGAUGCAACCCUAACUUUUCCUAGAUUUUUUAAAAAGGGGUGCUUUCUUUUCACUAGGAUUACUAAUCUCGUGCCUCUAUAAGAAAACUAACUGUCUAAGAAGCAGACUUGAGAAAGCAACUGAGUCCUGAUGAUAUCAUGAGAGGCCCUGGACCCAGCUGUGCCUGAAGCCAACCACCAGACAUUUUAGUUAUUGAGUCAAUUUCCAUUCCUUUUUAAUUGCUUGAGUUCAGCUUGUCACCUGCAACUGCAAUAUUCCUAAUCCAGUUAGUAACCCUCUUUCACAUACACACAUACCCAUCACACACCUUACAGACCAAACAGAGGAAUCGAGCUGACUUUUGUCCCUAAGCACGGGUUUACCUACUCACCUCAAAUCUAAAUUGUAUUUUUCUGAGUUGUGUUGUGCAGUUGACUGUCAAUAUUUAGCUUUCCUUGUACGGUACUUUCUAUACCAAGCUUGUCUGGCCUGUAGGCUGCAUGCCGCCCAGGACAGCUUGGUAUGGGGCCCAACACAAAUUCAUAAACUUUCUUAAAACAUUGUUUUUUGUUUGUUUUGUAGCUUAUCAGCUAUCGUCAGUGUUAGUGUAUUUUAUGUGUGGCCCAAGACAAUUCUUAUUCCAGUGUGGCCCAGGGAGGCCAAAGGAUUGGACACCCCUGUUCUAUUCCAUGAUCAGCAAGUAGACAUUUGCGGUGUCCUAAGUAGUAUCAGGUGAUAAGUCAAGGUGGAUGGAAGAGAUGCAAUUCUCAUUUAUAGCCUGGCCCAAAUUGAACUCCAAGAAACACACACAAUAAGCACUGCUCCCUAAGCCUGUGCGCUGUUCUGGAAAGAGCCUACUAAAACAACCUUGGCUUUUCUUUUUGACUCGCUGAUGCCAAGGACAGGUCUGUGCAUUUACUACCAGUACAAUGGGACAGGAAAGUCUCACACACAUUUUUUUAUUCUUUGAGAUGGAGUUUCACUCUUGUUGCCCAGGCUGGAGUGCAGUGGCACGAUCUCGGCUCACUGCAACCUCUGCCUCCCAGGUUCAAGUGGUUCUCCUGCCUCAGCCUCCCGAGUAACUGGGAUUACAGGUGCACACCACCAUGCCUGGCUAAUUUUUGUAUAUUUAGUAGAGACGGGGUCUCACCAUGUUGGCCAGGCUGGUCACACACAUUUUAACCACCCAUCUUUGCUACAAGGGAAAAAGGCCAAACCUUGUGUGGGUGAAGAGGCAGACUCAAAUGCUCCCGAUGCAGAGGAACGAGGCGGCUACCACUCAAUCACCAAUUACCAUUUGCAUGCUACCCAACCUGGACCUUUCCAGGGCAUACUGGACCACUCCCCACUUCCUUGGGGUGCAAUGAAUUGCAGACAGUUUAAUCCAUGGGCUUUUGCUGAUUCUGUUUUCUCUGCUUGGAAUGCCCUUCUACACAGAGGAAGUCUUUCAAGACCCAGGUCAAAGGUUAGCUCUCCUGUGAACACUUGUUCCUUUUCUAUCUGGUAUAAGCAGCCAUUUUAACUAUCGUUAAAGGUCAGGGUUUCUUAACUUGGGUCUGCGGGUCAUUAUGAAUAAGUUUUAGAGGGACAUGUCUGUAUCUAUGUCCACAUAUGUUACUCUGGAGGCCAGGGUCAGAGAUUCCAGAUUCUCAGAUUCGGUGACCUCAAAAAAAGGUCUCUUUUGGCCAGGCACAGUGGCUCAUGCCUGUAAUCCCAGCACUUUGGGAGGGUGAGGCAGGAGGAUGGCUUGAGCUCACAAGUUCAAGACCAGUCUGGGCAACAUAGCAAGGUAUCGUCUCUAAAAAAAUAAUAAAAAAUUUUAAAAAGC
rnacentral:lncRNA from 1 species